GAGGAGCAGCAGUCGUCGCCGUCCGGGGAGGAGCGGUUCGACUGGCUGGACAAGUGGUACCCGCUGGCGCCCGUGUGCGACCUCGACCCGCACGUGCCGCACGGCAAGACGGUGCUGGGGCUCAGCAUCGUGGACUGGUACGACCGUGGCGCCGGCGAGGGGCGCGUCUUCGACGACGCCUGCCUGCACUGCCUAGCGUCGCUCUCCGAGGGCCGGAUCGACGACAGGGGGCGCCUCCAGUGCGUAUACCACGACUGGUGUUUCGACGGUGCCGGCACCUGCAAGUUCAUCCCCCAGGCACCGCCCCUCGGCCCACCGAUGCACACGAGCAGCAGGGCGUGUGUGGCGUCAUACCCCUGCGUGGUGCAGAACAACAUCCUGUGGUUCUACCAGAGGGCUGACCCUAGAGUACAGGGACGUGCUGCAAAGGAAGCGCCCGCCGCUCAUUCCGGAAAUUGACGACCCGGACUUCGUCACCGUGUAUGGCAUCAGAGACCUUCCUUACGGGUAAAGGAUCCAUGGUUUUUUCUUAUGAGUUUUGAUCCUCGGAUCUAUCCAAUAUCCAGUCGCAUGCCUGCAGUGCACAUUUGGACAUUCGCAGUUCAGUCAUGAUUUGUGGCAUUGUUGCAUUGUAUUGCAGGUAUGAUAUUUUGGUUGAGAAUCUCAUGGACCCUGCUCAUGCCCCGUAUGCACACAAGGGGAUCAUGCGGGGCAUCCGCAAGAAGGAAGAUCCUGGAAGAUUCUCAUGGACCCUGCUCAUGUCCCGUACUGUUCCCAAAUUCACUGGUAAAUUCUCUUUUGGCGAGCCUUACAUGGAUGUUCGUACGCCACAAUGCAGGCGCACAAAAGAGUUGUCGAUAAACCAAUUACUGAAGUCAGAGAAGCGGAAAUAUGCAUGAGUGAAAAUUCUUUCUAUGUAGACACAGUGCGUAGGUCAGUCCAAUGCUUACUAUAUCCAUAUUCCUCUUUAUUUUUGAUAGCAUAGACAUAUGAGUAUAUGACAUUGGUUGUCAAUACGUCUACAUGGUAGUUUUUCAUGGAGCAAACUGCAGCUCUGUUUUUUACUAAUGAUUUAGUCAUUUAAAUGGACAUGCUCUAAAUUAUUCCCUUAAUUUGAUAAUCUAGAUUUCGUGAUAGAAGAUAUGAAUACAAAGGUCUUAACGAAACAUGGAAAGGAAAACUCGCAGAAGCGAAAGCCAGUGGAAAUUCUAUGAAAAUUCAGAAAGCGCAGGUUUGAUUGUGCGCUACACAUAACACAGCCUCAUUUCAUGUUUCAGGCAUCUGAAUUAUUUUCCUUCUCUAACUUUUCUUUUGCAGGAUAUGCUUGUUCUAUAUGAUUCUUUGCAACUUGCUCACAAGUGCAUAUUGAAUUUUUUUAUGGAUAUGUUAUGCGCAAGUAUGUGAAAUUUAAAGAUAGCAUGGUUUUCAUUUGUAUUCAUCCGAUAUGAUUAGCUAUGUAAUAGUCUCAUACUUUUUUUUUGAUUUAGGGGAGCAAGAUGGUACUCUAUGGAAAUGGCUGGUGUUGUAACAUAUACUGGUGCAAAGAUUAUCCAAAAUGCCCGAUUACUUGUAGAAAAAUUGGAAGGCCACUGGAACUGGAUACAGAUGGCAUUUGGUGUGUUUUGCCUGGCUCUUUUCCAGAAAACUUUACUUUCAAGACAAAAGCUGGGAAGAAGCUAACGAUAUCUUAUCCAUGUGUCAUGCUUAAUGCUGACGUUGCAAGGAACAACACUAAUGAUCAAUAUCAAGUAAGAGUAGUAGAGUACAUGUCCUUCUGAAAGUUAUACUUCAAAUCAUUAUUCAAGUUCUAUGUUGUCAUGGUUGAUCCUAAUGUUAUUGAUUGCUUGGUUUAUUUGUUCUAUUAGACAUUGAAAGACCCAGUAAACAAGACAUAUACAACACAGUGAGCGUUCCAUUGAGUUUGAGGUUGAUGGACCUUACAAGGUGAGUACUUAAAUGGUAUUACUGUUUACUUUACUCUCUUUUUGUAGUAAUUAUGUUCCUUGGUCCGAAUAUUUACUAUAAAAUACCGACCAAUCCUACUUAGUUAACCUUGCAAUACAUCUUAACAUAACAGGCCAUGAUCUUGCAUGCCUCUAAAGAGGAAGGGAUUCUGAUAAAGAAGAGGUAUGCUGUCUUCAAUGAAGAUGGCACUUUGGCAGAACUUAAAGGUUUUGAAAUCAAGCGUAGAGGUGAGCUGAAGCUCAUAAAAGUUUUUCAGGUAUAUGCUUCCUUUCAACUUUUCAAGUUUCAACACCGGUUACGUCAACAUUCACUUUAUCUCUAUACUACACCAUAAAUGCAGAUGUGCAGUUGCAUGUUGGUAGACUUUAACUAACUUUUAUUGAAUCUGGAACAUGUCAUGUUUUUCUUCUCUCCUGAAUUUGUUUAUCUGCAUAACGGCAACAAGACGCUGACCCAGCACUGAGUCUCUUGCUAAUAAGGCAACAUAUAAUUGAGGAAGUUGUGGUCACAACUGUACUUAGCGACAACAUAUUUUGAAGUAUUUUGCCGAAACAAUCCACACAAAUCUAUGUGCAGUAGCAUUUUUUCUAGAUCUUUGUUUCCUUGUUUGUCCUGUUUGCUUCAAUAAAAAAGUUGUUGAUGCACCAGGUUUCACCUUUAAUCCCAGAGCAGUAGCUUUCAAGAUCCAAAAGGUAUUAUCUAAAUCCAAAUUUAGAGCUAAAACUUUGAUUCCACGGUGCAACCAGAGUUAACUUUAUUUCUUACUUUAAAUGGGUCGCUUUGUUUUCGUUGAAUCAAUACUAUUGUCUCCUGUCGUUCCAUUAUCAGGGAAUAUAUGAAGAAGGACAGUGUAUUGAUGUCAAUCUAUCCACUUAUAUCACUGAAAAUUCCCAUCACCUUUCAUACUACAUGUGAAAUGCUCAUCGUCAAGGUUAGGUCUGUUUAGUUUGGGCAGAAGGGCGUCCUGUACUUGAACAUGCCCCACUCCGCUCUGGCCCGCGUGCUUUCUCUCCCCGCUCUAGCGGAUGACGGUGGUGCUAGCAGCCGGUGGCGGCAUCGGUAACAUCCUCGCUACCAGCGAUAGGGACUUUUCGUGCAGUCCCUCGGCGGCACCAUCGUGCCCGAUAGCAUCAGUUCGGACGAGGUAUAGCGAUGCCACGCUCGACCACGCUCGCCACUGCAGUGCAUCCAUCGAUCCGAUCCAAUCUCACCAUGCCCACCUGAAUCCUACCUGAUUUGGACACCCGCCUCUCUGCUCUACAGGACCUGGAGGACGAGCUUGGCGCGACAAGAAGGUCGGCGGCGCCAGGCGCCAAGCGCAGCUGCACCACCGAGGUGCACAACCUAUCAAAGUUUAUGUUAUUUCUAUUCUUGUUCAGUAGUUGUAGUUACAAAUCAAGAUUCUGAACAUUUUCCUUUUUUGCUCUCUGUUCAAAACAACCUUCUUUUUGUUUCACGUAUAAAAAUAUUGGUAGCAAGGUUAGACAGUAGAACUGCAUAAGAUCAUAUAAUUGUAUAUGAGCAUUGCAGUUCUAAUGGAUCUUUGUUUUCCCUUUCCAUCUUCUGAAAAAAUGCUUGUUUUGUUUUUCCUUUCGGCCAACCAAUAGCAGUGUCGAGUGUGUGUGACUACCAAUUCCCAUUUUUACCAUGUUUCAGCUUGGGGUAGUCCUAGGCAAAAUUUUCAUACGCAAUACGGUAAAAUUCACUAAAAUAAAGGUAACCAAACAAUUAUUCAGUAGCUUGUCACUCAUAUUUGUUUCUCACAUUAUUCUUCACUAGACAAUGCAAAGAGUACUGUUGAUCUGACAGCAAUUUACUAAAGAAUCAGAGACCGGUGAAUUCUCUAUUGAGGUACUACCAAAUUUUAGAAACAUAUUUCUUUUUUCAGGACAAUUAUUGUUGAAUGCAAACAAAACAUUGAGAAAUCUGUAUAUGUAGCAUGCUCUUGAUAUUCAUUUUAUUUUGAUCUUAGAUAUACAAACAAAUGAGUGCUUAGAUAAAAAUGGUGGCUGUUGGCAAGAUAAGGCUGCUAAAAUCACUACAAUAUUUAUUUUGUACAUCCUACAAUACUUGUUCGGUUUAUAUACAGGAUUCAUGGAAGAGUUUGUGAGUGUCCAAUUGCGAUUUGUGAAGGUACAUACAAAGCAUUAGGAGAUUCAUCUUCUAGCAUUUUCUUUGAUCAGGUGUUAAUAAAGCCUUAUGGAUUAUAACGUGUAUUUUUAGCUUCUGGAUCUGCACGAUGUGAAAUUAACAGUUGAGGAUGCUGGAAAGAUACCAAGAAUUGUGGGGCAUACUCUACUUGUCUUUAAGUGUUAGUUGAGGUUUUGCUGUCCUUAAAAAUGCCCUAUUAUCAGGAGGAUCCUGUCCAACUUUUUAUUAAGGAGUUCUUUAAAAUUUGAUAUUUUGUUUAUGAGUCUGCUAUAUGCUGGAUGAUGGUUGCAAAUACCUAGAUGGAUUCAAGGGUGGCAGUAGGCACAAAUGUGAAGGUAAAGCACAUUUCCGAGGCCUGUCUUUCUAGAAGUGCUUGCAUGUCCUCCGCAACUUUUGAUGUAAUGUUCUUCAGAGUUGUAUUUCUCUCUUGAGCCAUAUUAUAUAUCAUUGGGCUUGUCACACUUCUCUUUUGUGAAUGUAAAUGUGAAACAUGUUGUGACAGAUAUUGAUGAAUGUAAGGAAAGGAUUGUGUCAAUGCAAAGAAUCCAAAUGCAAAAACACAUGGGGAAGCUAUGAGUAUGGCUGCAGUGAAGGCUUGCUUUACAUGAAGGAGCAUGAUACAUGCAUAAGUAUGUGUAACCCUCAUACAGGUACACUAUCAGCUUAUUAUUGAGUCACUCUUUUUUCAUGUUGAAUUAGUUAACCUUAGAGGUGGUAAGUUAGCAGAAGUUGCUAGCUCUACCUCACAACCCAUUCAAGGCACAUGAGUCAUGAUUUUGGAUUUUUGCUCUAGCAACUUAACAUUUCAUAUCUCAGAAGUAGCAACUAUGUUGAACGUAGGCAUGACCUUGACACUCAAGUGUUGCUAAUUGGGCACUUAUUGUACUCAGGCAAAAGUGGAGCAUCAUAAUCUGGCUGGGGCUUCUUGUGGGUCAUCUUCUUCAGUCUUGUCGCAACAGGAAUUACAGGAUAUGCACCGUACAAGUAUAGGGCCCGGAGGUACAUGGAUUCAGAGAUAUGUGCCAUCAUGGCUCACUACAUGAGCUGUACAACCAAGGAGAGAUCCAAAUCCAUUCUCAUCACAUUGAGAUGUGACGCAGUAGGACACAGACUUUGACGAAGGGAGACUAGGACUUGAUCUAUAUUAAGUAAUAGAUCACUUACAUCAGUUCUAUUGUAUUCUAUUUUUAUGUAUGCUUUUUCAUACACACUGUAUGCUUUUCGUACGAUGCAAGUGCAUCGGUCCCUAUUUCACACAUACACUCUCUCAUCGCUUCUUUUCAUACUUCUCCUUUGGAUGUACCAUUGUAAUAUUUAGUGUUACAGUGAUAUUAUGCUACACGGAUUUU